CCCUGGUUAGCUCAGUGGGUAGAGGGCUCCACUGGAAAUCGAAGAGGUCCCGGGCUCUAUACCCGGACCAGGCG
rnacentral:tRNA from 2 species